UACAGAGGGGGCAAGCGUUAUUCGGAAUUAUUGGGCGUAAAGGGCGCGUAGGCGGCCUGGCAAGUGGAAGGUGAAAUCCCUCGGCUUAACCGAGGAACUGCCUCCCAAACUGCUUGGCUUGAGACCGGGAGAGGUGAGUGGAAUUCCCAGUGUAGCGGUGAAAUGCGUAGAUAUUGGGGAGGAACACCUAUGGCGAAGGCAGCUCGCUGGGACGUUACUGACGCUGAGACGCGAAAGCGUGGGGAGCAAACAGG
rnacentral:rRNA from 1 species